AACUGGAAUGAAUGAUUGGACGAAAUAGUGACUGUCUUAAUUUAAAUUUUAGAAUUUUAUUUUUAAGUUAAAAAGCUUAAAUUUUUUUAAAAGACGAGAAGACCCUAUAGAAUUUUAUAUUAUUUGAAUAUUUUAUUUUUAGUAAUUAAAUAUAGAAUUUUUUAAUAGAUAUUUAGUUGGGGUGAUUGAAAAAUUUAAUAAACUUUUUUUAUUACUAACAUUAAUAUAUGAUUAUUUGAUCCAGUUUUUUUGAUUAUAAGAUUAAAUUACCUUAGGGAUAACAGCGUAAUUUUUUUAGAGAGUUCUGAUCGAUAAAAGCGACCUUUAAAACUUUACAUGAUCUGAGUUUAAACCGGUGUAAGCCAGGUUGGAUUCUAUCUUUAAUAAAAUUAAAUAUUUUAGUACGAAAGGACCAUAUAUUUAUUAUAGUAGUUUUAUUAGAAUAAUAUUAUUAUUUUGGCAGAUUAGUGCUUUAAAUUUAGAAUUUAAUUAUGUGUGAUAUAUACAAAUAAUAC
rnacentral:misc_RNA from 1 species